rnacentral:rRNA from 1 species
AACUAACGCUGGCGGCAUGCCUAACACAUGCAAGUCGAACGAGACCUUCGGGUCUAGUGGCGCACGGGUGCGUAACGCGUGGGAAUCUGCCCUUGGGUUGGGAACAACAGUUGGAAACGACUGCUAAUACCGGAUGAUGACUUCGGUCCAAAGAUUUAUCGCCCAAGGAUGAGCCCCCGUAGGAUUAGCUUGUUGGUGAGGUAAAAGCUCACCAAGGCGACGAUCCUUAGCUGGUCUGAGAGGAUGAUCAGCCACACUGGGACUGAGACACGGCCCAGACUCCUACGGGAGGCAGCAGUGGGGAAUAUUGGACAAUGGGCGAAAGCCUGAUCCAGCAAUGCCGCGUGAGUGAUGAAGGCCUUAGGGUUGUAAAGCUCUUUUACCCGGGAUGAUAAUGACAGUACCGGGAGAAUAAGCCCCGGCUAACUCCGUGCCAGCCGCCGCGGUAAAAC